UACGAAGGGUGCAAGCGUUGUUCGGAUUUAUUGGGCGUAAAGCGCGCGCAGGCGGAUCUGCAAGUCAGGUGUGAAAUCUCGGGGCUUAACCCCGAAAGUGCGCCUGAAACUGCAAGUCUAGAAUGUCGGAGAGGGAAGGGGAAUUUCUCAUGUAGGGGUAAAAUCCGUAGAUAUGAGAAGGAACACCAGAGGCGAAGGCGCCUUCCUGGACGGAUAUUGACGCUGAGGCGCGAAAGCGUGGGGAGCAAACAGG
rnacentral:rRNA from 1 species